UUUUCAUUCGCUUAAACUCAAUUAAUUUCACAUCUCAAUGAUUGUCAAAAGCGCACAGCCAAAAUAGUAGAGAUCUACAGAAUGGAAACAAACCGCACUUCUUCAGGCCACUCAAUCCAGGUUUUCACAAAGAAUUCUACUUGGACGAGAAAGAUCAUGUAAAAGCAGCGCUGAGAAGCCCAAAAGGGUAGGUUUGGCCUGUGAAGAUUAAAGGUAGAAAUAUUGAAAAUGGAUGGACAGAGUUUGCAAGGGAGCAGGAGCAUGCAUUACAGGUGGGUGAUUUCUUAGUCCUUGAACAUGCAGGAAAAAUGGUGUUUCAUGUAAUGAUAUUUGAUUCAAGUGGAUGUGAGAAAUAAUAUUCAAAGGAAGAGUAUCAGAAGAAAGUUACAAGUAAGUAUUCAUCAUACUCUCUCUCUGUCUGUCUCUGUAUUGCUUAUAUUUCAUUUAGCGACUGCUUUAUAAACAAGACUACAAGAGAGUUCACAGAGACACAAAAACAUGUUACUCGAGAGAUUACAAAAAUCAAAAGGGAACAUAUUGGCCUGCAUAUUUAAAGCACAAAAAAAUCACUUUGGCAUUGGUGGGAAUGAAUUUAGAAUUCAAAAUAAACUCAAACAAGGGGAUUCCUUCACCAUGGAGCUCAUUAAUAGUGGCAGAAACCCUCUGUUUCUCUUUCGCAGUAAGUUGUGCCCGUCAAUUCUUUAUUUCUUUUUGUAUCUCACAAUUUUAAAAAAUAAAAUAUAAUGAAAGAGAACUGUCACUUAUUUUGUGUAGGAAUAUGAUUUUGGAUAUGAGGCCAUCCAUCAAUCUGUGAUGUUUACUCAUGAACCUUAUAGUUGGCCUUUCUUUCUUUUGGAUAAUUCUGAUUGGUAUGGUAUGAUCUGUUGUUGGUUGUGA